GCUUACAGUCAUAUCACGUUGAAACACCGCUUCUCGUCCGAUCACCGAAGUUAAGCAACGUCGAGCCUAGUGAGGACUUAGAUGGGUGGACCGCUUGGAACACCUAUGUACUGUAAGCG
rnacentral:rRNA from 1 species